ensembl:snRNA U6 U6 spliceosomal RNA
GUGCUCGCUUCGGCAGGACAGAGACUAAAAUUGGAACGAUACAGAGAAGAUUAGCAUGGCCCCUGCGCAAGGAUGACACACAAAUUCGUGAAGCGUUCCACGUUUAA